rnacentral:rRNA from 1 species
GAGUCAGACUGUGGAUUAUAAGAUUCAUAGUCGACAGGACAACAGCCCAGAUCGUCGGCUAAGGUCCCUAAAUGUAAGUUAAGUGGUAAAGGAUGAGGGAUUGCACGGACAACCAGGAUGUUGGCUUAGACGCAUCAACCCAUUCAAAGAGUGCGUAAUAGCUCACUGGUCGCGUGAUCCUGCGCCGAAGAUUUCCGUGGCUAAAACUUACUACCGAAGCUACGGCAUCAGUAAUGAUGGGUAGGUGAGCUUCCCAUACGGGUUGAAGCAUUACCGUAAGGACAUGUGGACAGUCUGGGAGUGAGCAUGUUGGCAUGAGUAGCGAGCUGUUGUUGCGAAUUCCUCAGGCCGUACACCCAAGGUUUCCAGGUGACGGUUCGUCCUCCAUGGGUUCGACGGGACCUAAGCUGAGGCCGAAAGGCGGAGGUGAUGGACAACAGGG